GGAAUAUAAGAAACCGUCUCUUGACUUUUAACUAAAAAAACUAAGAACCGAUUCUUAGUUUUUUAAGUUAAAAGUCAAAAGACGGUUUCUUAUAUUUC
rfam:Brassica napus, WGS project CCCW01000000 data, contig: 18265